UAAAAUCCGUCUACAUAAAAUCAAGUGAAUAAGCUACAUAUAUGCCACUCAGAAAAAAAGAUAUAUGCGAUGUCACAAAUAUUUAAGGUGUAAAUAGCAAAAUGUUAUCUCCAGAUAGUUGGAGUACUUAACGCGAACAUAUUUUGUGUGCAUAAGAAUAUUUGAAGUGUGAAUGCGAAAAUAGUCUAACUAAAUAUCACAGGGGACUUCUGAUAAAAAAAGAAAAUUGUUUCUGUGGAUUUUAAGUGAUUACUGAAGACAAAUCAACCAUCGUUAGUAAAGUAGUUCUACACGUUUGAUAAAGCGGAAGUGAUGGCGUAACGUCAUUUAUCCGGAUAACAUAGAACGAAGCCUGGAUUCGGCGUACGGAAAUGAAAAUCAUUUUAUGAAUGAAUGACAACCCCUGAAGACAUGCUAGCGGGAGGCAAAAGAAUGUAGGGGAGGGGCACAAAAAGGGGGAUGAAGAAAAGAAGCACCAUCACCAUACAAGACUAUAUGCAAAGCAUAUAAAACGAAACGGACAAAUAAAUAAAAAGGUAUUUCUAUUAUUUGUACAAUGGCAUAUUUCCCAAGUUUCUGCGUGCUAGACUAAACAAAUGGUGCAAAGUUAGUACGUAUUUAGUGAUGCCCACUUUGGAUUCCGAUGCAACAGUACUUUUGAUUGUGCGUUUAUUCUACAUUGUAUUAUACAAAACCUUCCCUCCUAGAAGAAUGAAGCUCUGCAUCGUGCCUUCACAGAUUAUGAAAAGGAACUUUAAACCAUUGACUUUUCGGAACUGCUAUUAGCAGCAAAAAUGAUGAAAUUGUUAAAAUCUAUAUAUGAAAAUGUAUCAGCCUGUAUAAAAGUAUUCUCUAAUGUGUCUGAAUUCUCUCUCUCGUCGAUAUUCUUUAUUUUAUUCGUGAACAAUUUUGUGAAAUGAUUUUAAUUGAAUAAGGCUACGGACAUCUUUGGGAAAAAAUCUCAUGUUUAUACAUUGUUUUUCUCUGCUUUUUCAAACAAAGCAGGUAUUUUUAUAUAAUUAAUAUGUCGAAAAUAGAUCAAAAGCUAAAUUUAAAACUAAACUUGAAUAUGAGUUUUACCCGAGUGCAAUAGAAAAUGAUUAUCAUAAAAAAUUGUCAUCAUGUUUUCAAUUAUAGUUACACAAUGUUGCAAUCGAAACAGGGCGAUAUGUGGGUACACACUGAAGACAUAGAAUAUGUAAAAAUGAAAUGCAACAGUCGUACAAUCUGAAUACCGCUUUCUUCGAUAAAUUUUACUAAGUACAUAUAUUAUGCUACUUGUGUUAAAUAUUUGCCAAAUGCGUCAGAAAUUUAGUAGAAUGAUGCCGUUAAACUACAAGAGAACACCUGUUAGAAAAUAUCUUACAGAGGCAUAUAAAUUGAGAGCUGAAAUAAUCAAGGAUAGAUAAUAAUAAAAGUAUCGUAUGUUAUGAUAAUUUGUAUAUAAUACCUAUUCAUGUGCAUGUUCAAUGAUGUUGUUAAAUGUUUAUCUGUUCCUUAACUCUAAACAUAUUAAUGUCGAUUUUGCUAAUAGAUGCUGUUGUCGAUGGUGUUUUUGUUGAUGCUGCUGCUGUUGUAAAUUUAUUUCUCUUGUUAUGUGGUAAAAUAUGUAUUCCACAAGUGUAUUUACUAGGUAACCUGGCAUAAUACACAAAUAAGUGGGACAAAAUUUUGAAAAUCUCUCGAUGCUGAAUGGAUAUUAAGACUAGUUAAAUCAUCAACA